CAAGGAGGGAGCUGGAGCUUGCUUUGGCAGCACCGGGACGAUACAGAGAAGAGGAGCGUGGCCCCUGCACCAGGAUGACACACACAUUUGUGAAGCGUUCCGUACAGGG